UACGAAGGGGGCUAGCGUUGUUCGGAAUUACUGGGCGUAAAGCGUAUGCAGGCGGACUUUUAAGUCGGGGGUGAAAUCCCGAGGCUCAACCUCGGAACUGCCUUCGAUACUGGAAGUCUUGAGUCCGGGAGAGGUGAGUGGAACUCCGAGUGUAGAGGUGAAAUUCGUAGAUAUUCGGAAGAACACCAGUGGCGAAGGCGGCUCACUGGCCCGGUACCGACGCUGAGAUACGAAAGCGUGGGGAGCAAACAGG
rnacentral:rRNA from 1 species